GCAUUGCAGUGUGUUUAAAAAGAAAUCACAUACCCUGACUAAAAUGAUUACAGUUCACGAACCCUUUGGACUAAAGGCAUACA